GUGUCAGCAGCCGCGGUAAUACGUAGGUGGCAAGCGUUGUCCGGAUUUACUGGGCGUAAAGGGCGUGCAGGCGGUCUAUUAAGUCUAGGGUGAAAGCUCCCGGCUCAACUGGGAGAGGUCCUUGGAUACUGGUGGACUUGAGGGAUGCAGAGGAAAGUGGAAUUCCCGGUGUAGUGGUGAUAUGCGUAGAUAUCGGGAGGAACACCAGUGGCGAAGGCGGCUUUCUGGGCAUUUCCUGACGCUGAGACGCGAAAGCGUGGGGAGCGAACCGGAUUAGAUACCCGUGUAGUCC
rnacentral:rRNA from 1 species